rnacentral:rRNA from 1 species
AUGGAUCCUUUGGAUUAUCUUUCAAUCAGGUUUCAUUUCGGAGGGGAAUUUCACCAUGAUGGUACAGAGUGGCAGUAUUUGGGUGGUACACAUGGCAUGUCCAUGGUUCAUCUGUCAAAAUUGAGCCUCGAAGAACUGAAAAACAAUCUUGCAGACCAUGUUAGAUGUUUAGAGAAAGCACUAAACAACAGUACACUGCAUUGGAAAUUUCCUGGUCUAAUAAGAGAUGGUGCAAUGAGUAGUGCUCUGGUGAUGUUACAUGAUCAAAAAUCAGUGUUAGAGAUGGCAAAACAUGCCACUGAUGCAGGUGUUAUGGACAUAUAUUCCAACAUACCUGAUGACUUUUCACAGGAUGAGUAUCCAGAGGAACAUCAACAUCAUUUAGAGGAGGAACAAGAACUUCAUGGAGAGGACCAGCAGCAACAUGUACAAGAGCAGCAAAAUAAUCCAAAUGCAGAUGAACAUAUAUUAGAACCAGAAGCUUGGCAAUACUCCAAUAUGUAUUACCAGCCUAGCAGUAGCAGUGCUAAAUUGCCAGUGAAGAGAGGUAGCAGCCAAAUGCAGGACAAAGGGAAAUCACAUUUAGAUGAGGAUGAAGAAGUACACACUGAAAGUGAUGGCUCAUCUGACAGUGACUAUGCUAUUCCCCCGGCAGAGAGCAAUAGCUCAGCAUCUGAUGAUGAAGUGCUAGGGUUGAGAAAAUAUGCUAAAGAAUUGAAGGACAAAGUGAGAAAGAACAUGCUGAGAGAAGAGGAGGGAAAACCAUGCAAUGUGCCUGAAGAGUAUAUUGUCCCAGAAACAUUUAAGCUAGAUGAUUCAGAUGGAGAAGACACACCAUACUUUGAAAGUGAUGACGACUUGUCAUAUGAUGAAGGUAGUGAUGGAGAGAUAAGUGAAGUGAGAAGGAGGAAAACAACACACAGAGUUUAUGAUGACAGUACUGACAAACCAGAAUUUGCUCUAGGCAUGGCAUUUCGUGAUAGCAGGGAAUUCAAACAGGUACUGGUUAAGUAUGGGCUAGCAAAUUUCCACCAUUUAAGAUUUCCAAAAGAUGAAAAGAAAAGGGUCAGUGUAGAAUGUUCCUGGCCUGGUUGUCCUUGGAGCAUCUAUGGCUCAAUUAGUAGCAGAUCUGAUUGGUUGUUAGUUGUGAGGUAUGAAAAUGAGCACACAUGUAUUCCUAGGAGGGGCAACAAGCUUGUCACAAGCACGGUCAUUGCCAAAAAGUAUUUCAGACAGAUCAGGCAUAAUCCUACUUGGCAUGUAGAGCAUAUGCAGGAGGCAGUACUUGAGGAUCUUCUAGCCGAUGUUAGCUUGUCCCAGUGCAAGAGAGCAAAAAAGUUAGUCAUGGAAAAGCUCACUAAUUUGACUAAUGGUGAGUAUUCUAGAGUCUAUGACUACCACUUAGAACUAGUGAGAAGCAAUCCUGGAAGCACAGUGGCAGUGACUCUAGAUCCUGAAAUUUUUGACAAGCCAGUUUUCCAAAGAAUGUAUAUUUGUCUUGAUACCUGCAAAAAGGGUUUCCUAGCUGGGUGUAGAAGAGUUGUGGGUCUAGAUGGGUGCUUUCUGAAGGGGUCAGUCUCAGGCCAAAUACUAUGUGCUAUUGGCAGAGAUUCCAACAAUCAGAUGUACCCCAUUGCUUGGGCUACAGUUGAGGUUGAAUCAUAUGACUCAUGGUACUGGUUCCUGUCAUUUCUUCAGAAGGAUCUUCAGAUAAGCAACAAUGGAGAUGGAUGGGUCUUCAUAUCUGACCAACAGAAGGGUCUUAUCAGGGCUGUCAAUGAAAUUGUGCCUGAAGCAGAGCAUAGGAUGUGUGCUAGGCAUAUUUAUGCUAACUGGAGAAAGGUGCACAGAGACAAAAAACUGCAAAAGAUGUUCUGGGCAUGUGCCAAAUCAUCUGAUGUUACUCAAUUUAAUUACAAUAGAGCGAAACUAGCCCAAAAAGUGUGGAAGGAGCUAAAGACAUCCUGA